rnacentral:rRNA from 1 species
AACGAAUGAGACCUUAACCUGCUAAAUAGUUAUGCCAAUUUUGUUGGUAGCCAACUUCUUAGAGGGACUGUCAGCAUCAAGCCGACAGAAGUUUGAGGCAAUAACAGGUCUGUUAUGCCCUUAGAUGUCCUGGGCCACAUGUGCGCUACACUGAUGAAGUCAACGAGUUUAUAACCUUGGCCAGAAGGUCUGGGUAAUCUUUUGAAACUUCAUCGUGCUGGGGAUAGAGCAUUGCAAUG